CAAGGAAUAGUUUAAUUGCUUGAAUAUUGGCUUUGGGAGCCAGCGGUGGGGGUUCGAGUCCCCCUUCUUUGA
rnacentral:tRNA from 1 species